rnacentral:tRNA from 1 species
GGAGGUGUAGCUUAGUGGUAGAGUGCCAGCCUAGCAUGCUUGAGGCCCUGGGCUUGAUCCCCAACACCACAA